ACGACUUCCAGACGACUUCCAGAUGACUUCCAGACGACUAACAAGUAAGUCGUCCUAGAAGUCUUCCAGAUCUGAAAAACCUGCAUAUUAAAUCCAGAUCUGAAAAACCUGCAUAUUCAAAAACGUUCAAAUGGCUUAAAAACAGAAAAAAUGAGUGGAAGAUUAGAUAAAUCUACCUUUACAGAACACACAAAAAUACAUAUCUAAAAAUAAUAGAUCUACCUUUAAAUUAGUGGAAGAUGAGUACCAAAUAAUUAAAAACCUGCAAAAAAAAAAAAAUAGAUUAGUAACAAAGACAUGAGACAAAAUUGAAAAAUUCAUAUAAAGUUUGGUGUUUUCAAGUCAAAGAGAUUAGAGUGGGUUUAGAGAGUUUUAGUUUGGGAAAAAAGUAAGAACUUUAUACAACAAGAAGUUACCAAAUGAAGAAAAAUGAGACAUAAGAACUUACCAAAACGCUCAGAAAAAUCCAGACGACUUCCUAGAAGUCCAGACGACUUCCUGGAAGUCCAGACGACUUCCUGGAAGUCCAGACGACUUUGUCAGAAGACUUCCAAGAAGUCCAGACGACUUCCAGACGACUAACAGGUAAGUCGUCCCAGAAGUCUUCCAGAUCUGAAAAACCUG
rnacentral:lncRNA from 1 species